GACGAACGCUGGCGGCGUGCUUAACACAUGCAAGUCGAACGGAAAGGCCCUGCUUUUGUGGGGUGCUCGAUUGGCGAACGGGUGAGUAACACGUGAGUAACCUGCCCUUGUCUUUGGGAUAACUUCAGGAAACUGGGGCUAAUACCGGAUAUGAUCUCCUGCUGCAUGGUGGUGGUUGGAAAGUUUCGGCGGUUGGGGCUGGACUCGCGGCUUAUCCGCUUGUUGGUGGGGUAGUGGCUUACCAAGGCUUUGACGGGUAGCCGGCCUGAGAGGGUGACCGGCCACAUGGGGACUGAGAGAGGGACCAGACUGCAACGGGAGGCAGCAGUGGAGAAUAUUACACAAUGGGCGGAAGCCUGAUGCAGCAACGCCGCGAGCGGGAUGACGGCCUACGGGGUGAAAACAGAUGUCGCCUGUGACGAAGCGUGAGUGACGGUAAUGGGUAAAGAAGCACCGGCUAACUACGUG
rnacentral:rRNA from 1 species